ensembl:misc_RNA Y_RNA Y RNA
AGCUGGUCUGAGGGUAGUGAGUUAUCUCGAUUGAUUGUUCACAUUUGGUUACAGAUCAAACUCCUUGUUCUAUUCUUUCUCCCCUUCUCACUACUGCACUUGGCUAGUCUUAG